AUCGCUUCUCGGCCUUUUGGCUAAGAUCAAGUGUAGAAGAUCAGCAAAGAUUGCCAAUUUUCAUUCAUUUGUUCUUUUUUUUUUUUUAUAAAUCAUGAUUAAACCACACAGUGAGUAUCA
rnacentral:snRNA from 1 species